AACAUGAGCAAAAGAUACAAAGCAACAUUUCACUGGAAAAGAUAUAUAGAUUGCAAAUAAGCACAUGAAAAGAUGUUUGAUACCAUUAGGGAAACGCUUCUUUAAACCAGGAAAUAUCACCACGUGUUAGAAUCAACAAAAUAAGGCCAGGCACGGUGGCUCACACCUGUAAUCCCAACACUUUGGGAGGCUGGGGCAGGCAGAUCACAUGAGAUCAGGAGUUCAAGACCAACCUGGCCAACAUGGCAAAACCCUGUCUCUGCUGAAAACACAAAAAUUAGCCAGGUGUGGUGGCACACGCCUGUAGUCCUAGCACCUUGGGAGGCUGAGGCAAGAUAAUUGCUUAAACCCAGGAGACGGAGGUUGCAGUAAGCUGAGAUCAUGCCACUGUGCUCCAGCCUGGGCGACAGAGCAAGAUUAUGUCUCAAAAAAAAAAAAGAAUCACCACAAUAAAAAAUAGUAACAAUACUAUUGUCAAGGAUGCAAAGGAACUGUACCACUCAAUCACUGCUGUGAGAAUUUAAAGUGGUGCAGCCACUCUGGGAAACAGCUUGGCUGUUUUUUUUAUGACUGAACGUGCAACUACUAUAUGAUGCAGUAAUUUCAUUUUUGCACAUUUAUCCCGGAGAAAUGAAAACAUAUAUUCACACAAAACCUGUAUAUGAAUGCUAAUAAAAGUCAAUUGGCCAGGCGUGGUGGCUCAUGCCUGUAAUCCCAGCACUUUGGGAGGCUGAGGCAGUGGAUCACCUGAGGUCAGGAGUUUGAGACCAGCCUGGCCAACAUGGUGAAAACUCGUCUCUACUAAAAAUACAGCAAUUAGCUGGGUGUAAUAGUAGCCACCUGUAAUCCCAGCCACUGGGGAGGCUGAAGCAGAAGAACCUCUUGAACCCAGGAGGCAGAGGUUGCAGUGAGCUGAGAUCAUACCACUGCACUCCAGCCUGGGCGAUAGAGUGAGACUCUGUCUCAAAAAAUAAAAUAAAAUAAAUAAAAAGAUUAGAUAAUCUGCAAAGUUCCUGUGAGCGCUGUCAUUUUGUCACUCUGGUUUUUCAGAUUCUUCCCCUGGAGGCUGGAGUUUCCAGGAUGUCAAAAUUACCUCUGCUUGGGUGAGCUAUUUCAAGCAGCUGGGAUACCUGUGUCACUCCUGCUGUCUGCCAGUGACUGCCCAGGUGUCUGCUGGUUCCUCCCCAGGAGUAGGGAGGAACCAGGUGGGCUGGCUGGGAUGGGUGGAUAUUUAAAGACCAGGCCUUGGACGCCGCAGCACUUCUAUCUCUGCUUGAUGCCUGCUGCCACGUGGCUGGUCCUCCUCCUCUUGCUGUGGCUGAGCCCUGGGGUGAAGACAGCUAUUCCCAACCCCAGAACCUUUGCUGUCUUGGAACAGAUCACCACUGCAAGAGGGGAAGUUGCUACUGUGAUGAAUUCUGCCAUGUGGUACCAGACUGCUACCCAGACCACAGUGUCCUCUGCAACCCUCGUAACUCACAUACAGGCCUGAUUCCACCUACAGCAAAGCUGGAUGCUAUGGUUGGCAGAGGCAAACCCUUUGCCUGCACUUCAGGCCAAAGCCGGGAUGUGGCCUAGAUGGUUCCUAAGGUCCCUGACAAUCCUGAGAUCUUGCAUCUUGUCUAUUUCAGGUCAAAGGUGCCUACAUGUUCCUUCUAGCUUUGUUUCCCUGAUGUUCCUUGCCACCUGCUACUCCUCUCUGAGCUACUUUUCCAGGUUCCACAGGGAGAGGUUCAGCUGUCCGUGGUAGACAUGAGGGUAGAGAAUGAGGUGGUUGGGUUCCACUUACCUUUCUAUCAUCUUGCAGUAUGGAUGUCUCUUGACUGGUACCAUGUAGACUUUUGAGGGCACACAGGAGUCUGCAGAGAGAUACUGGGGACAUUGAGUAGCAGCGGUGGGGUUGGGAGGCAGAAAUGAGGACAGGAACAUUUACCUUGUGUUUCUCUCAGCUUCUCAGAUGACCAAGAUGGUGCUGCAGAUGGUGCUGAGGAUGGAGAACCCACCAAGCCCCGCUAGGAGCCACCUAGACUGGAUGUAGAGCAUGGUUCAGCGAGUUCUCCAAACCAGCCUCCCAGGAAUGCCGGUCUCCAUGGCUGUGAGGGGAAUCAAGAAGAGAGCCUGACUCCUCUCCUGAGGCCCCUUCCCCACCCUGAGCCAGCAGGAUCCACGGAGCAGAGGUCAUCUGUCCCCAGCUUGGCCCGCUGAGGCCAGCAUGGCUGGGCCCAUGAUGCUUGUCUCUCAGCUCCCAUCCUGUGUACUUCCACAUUGGUUUAACCAGAGCAAAACUGAAAUCUACAAUUGUCAUAAACACAUUUAAAUGUGCGUAGAAUCAGCCUUACAGGUUGUGAAACAUG
rnacentral:lncRNA from 1 species